rnacentral:piRNA from 1 species
UAGCACCAUUGUACAGGUUCAGCAUUUGC